ensembl:lncRNA
CGAAGGGAGCAGAGGUGGGUAGGUGAUGCGGGGCCCUGGGAACAGGAUGAACCCUCAGAGCUUUACCCCAGGCCUGGACACUCAGCACCUCAGGAUCCGAGGCUCUGAGCAGAACGGCUGGAGAGCUUCAAAGAUGGAUAUCUUGGUUGCUUCCAUGUCCUGGCUGUCGUAAAUAGUGUUGCAGUGAGCAUCGGAAUGCAUGUGUCUUUUGGAAUUGUGGCUUUCUCAAGAAGACCAAGCACCUGGAAGCUCUUCCACCACGGCUGCCAAGUGACUGGAGAUUUUAGGACCCGGGACUGCGGGAAAAUGACAGGAGCUCUGCUGCGGCCAUGGCUUCAGGACUGGGAACUCCCCUGGCGCUUUAGAAAUGGAUCAUCACAGGGAACAGUCAUUCCUUUCCAUUUCGCAGGCACUCAAGGAACAUUAGACAUUUCUAGGCAGCUAUGUUUAUAGGCAUUUGUCUGAAGUUCUAGCAUUAUACUGCUUCUAAGUCCCCUCAGUCGUGUCUGACUCUGUGCGACCCCAUAGACAGCAGCCCACCAGGCUCCCCCGUCCCUGGGAUUCUCCAGGCAAGAAUACUGGAGUGGGUUGCCAUUUCCUUCUCCAAUACAUGAAAGUGAAAAGUGAAAGUGAAGUCGCUCAGUUGUGUCCGACUCUUCGCGACCCCAUGGACUGCAGCCUACCAGGCUCCUCCAUCCAUGGGAUUUUCCAGGCAAGAGUAUUGGAGUGGGGUGCCAUUGCCUUCUCUGAGCAUUAUACUGACCAGCCACAAAACGCAUCUCGAGGCCAGUACUGGGUUGCAAUGAAAAACAUUCAGCUGAAUUCAUCAGUGCUUUUGCUCAAAGGACAGGAUCUGAUCCCAGUGUUUCUACCCCAGAGCUUGGCCUUUAAAGUGAUCAGAGGAGAUCCCAGGUUCUUUCUGGCCACGAUGUCAUCAUGUCAUCUAAAUGUGUUCUUUUUUAUGGCUGUGACUCACAGCUUGUAGGAUCUUCAUUCCUCAACCAGGAAUUGAACCCAGGCCCUUGGAUGUGAAAGUGCAGAGUCUGAUUCCCUGGACUGCCAGGGAAUUCCCUCUAAAUGUGUUCUG